rnacentral:rRNA from 1 species
GGGGAAUCUUCCGCAAUGGGCGAAAGCCUGACGGAGCAACGCCGCGUGAGGGAUGAAGGCCUCUGGGCUGUAAACCUCUUUUCCCAAGGAAGAAGAUCUGACGGUACUUGAGGAAUAAGCCACGGCUAAUUCCGUGCCAGCAGCCGCGGUAAUACGGGAGUGGCAAGCGUUAUCCGGAAUUAUUGGGCGUAAAGCGUCCGCAGGCGGCCUCGUAAGUCUGUCGUUAAAGCGUGGAGCUUAACUCCAUUUAAGCGAUGGAAACUGCGAGGCUAGAGUGUGGUAGGGGCAGAGGGAAUUCCCGGUGUAGCGGUGAAAUGCGUAGAUAUCGGGAAGAACACCAGUGGCGAAGGCGCUCUGCUGGGCCAUAACUGACGCUCAUGGACGAAAGCCAGGGGAGCGAAAGGGAUUAGAUACCCCUGUAGUCA